rnacentral:rRNA from 1 species
UACGUAGGGUGCAAGCGUUUAAUCGGAAUUACUGGGCGUAAAGCGUGCGCAGGCGGUGAUGUAAGACAGAUGUGAAAUCCCCGGGCUCAACCUGGGAACUGCAUUGUGACUGCAUCGCUGGAGUGGCGGCAGAGGGGGAUGGAAUUCCGCGUGUAGCAGUGAAAUGCGUAGAGAUGUGGAGGAACACCAAUGGCGAAGGCAGCCUUCUGGGGCCAACACUGACGCUCAUGCACGAAAGCGUGGGGAGCAAACAGG